CAGUAGCCGCGGUAAUACGUAGGUGGCAAGCGUUGUCCGGAAUUAUUGGGCGUAAAGGGCUCGCAGGCGGUUUCUUAAGUCUGAUGUGAAAGCCCCCGGCUCAACCGGGGAGGGUCAUUGGAAACUGGGAAACUUGAGUGCAGAAGAGGAGAGUGGAAUUCCACGUGUAGCGGUGAAAUGCGUAGAGAUGUGGAGGAACACCAGUGGCGAAGGCGACUCUCUGGUCCGUAACUGACGCUGAGGAGCGAAAGCGUGGGGAGCGAACAGGAUUAGAGACCCCAGUAGUCCCUGUCUCUUAUAA
rnacentral:rRNA from 1 species